AUUGAACGCUGGCGGAAUGCUUUACACAUGCAAGUCGAGCGGCAGCACGGGGGCAACCCUGGUGGCGAGCGGCGAACGGGUGAGUAAUACAUCGGAACAUGCCCAGUCGGUGGGGGGAUAACACUUCGAAAGAAGUGCUAAUACCGCAUACGUCCUGAGGGAGAAAGCGGGGGAUCGCAAGACCUCGCGCGAUUGGAGUGGCCGAUGUCAGAUUAGCUAGUUGGUGGGGUAAAGGCCUACCAAGGCAACGAUCUGUAGCUGGUCUGAGAGGAUGAUCAGCCACACUGGGACUGAGACACGGCCCAGACUCCUACGGGAGGCAGCAGUGGGGAAUUUUGGACAAUGGGGGCAACCCUGAUCCAGCCAUUCCGCGUGAGUGAAGAAGGCC
rnacentral:rRNA from 1 species